ACACGAAUGAAGGUCAAGCUGAUGACUUUACUAAAUGAUGUAAGUGGUGGUGCAUGGUCGUUCGUGGUUCGUGGAUUGAUUUGUCUGGUUAAUUCCGAUAACGAGCGAGACCCUCUCGUUCCUAAUAGGGGUUACAGCCAAACUGGUCGAAAGACUGGUUAGCCGUAGCUUAAGAUAAUUGCUUCUUAGACGUAUCAGAGCCGAUAAGGUUCUUGAAAUGGGUUAAUAACAGGUCAGUCAUGCCCUUAGAUGUUCUGGGCCGCACGCGCGUUACAAUGGCAUGUAAAGCAAGUGCUUCUCGAUAGGCUUUACCAGGGUCGAAAGGCCCAGGUAAUCCUUAAACCCUGCCUUGACUGGGAUAGGUCAUUGCAACUAUUGGUCUUAAACGAGGAAUUUUUAGUAAUAGCCAGGUCAUUAACCUGCGCUGA
rnacentral:rRNA from 1 species